GAUGAGUUACUAACCAUCAGUUCCAUAUGGUUUCGGUCAUGUUCAGUGCUCCUUUCUCGCUGUGCUUUUUUGGUUUUUUCUUGCCUAUUUAUAAAUACACAAAGUCUCUCUUGGGCUUGGCCACUGGCCGGGGUUAAGAAUGGAAGAAACCACCAAAACGUAAAUUAGUUCAUGUUUCUUUUCAGUGUCUCUGAGGAGGUUGGUUUUGUUCUGGGGCAAACGUACGUGCCUGUACAGUAGACAUGCCUCACGGUGCAUAAUGGCUACCAUUGUUUCGGGGUUACGCUGGUCAGCCAGCAGUCUCUCAGCAGAAGAGUACAACUUUAAUUGACCUCAACUGGUCAGCUGUCGCGCUGGAGGAGCUUGUUUUUUGCUGUGGGUCAUCAAAGGUUGUGCAAAAAUUAUACGUUGUUAUAUUGGUGUAGGAGAAAAUUGCAACAUACUAUAUACUACCUGCAGCCCGUCUCACUAUAAGAUAGAUACAUGUUGGGCUUUUUUUUUUUUUUUUAGCAUCCUACUCUGUAAAUGCUCUCAUGGAGCUGUUUUAGGUCACAAGGACAAUUGUGCAGAAGUUGCAAGAAACUAUUAAGUGGGCUUGACCUGAGAGGAAAAAGAAUUACAGCUUAAAGCAAGGAACUUCUUUAGCCCACCUGAGGCAUUUAUUUCUUGGUUAAAAGAAAAACACAGUUGGCAGGACUGCGUCAAAGAAGUGUAGCAAAGCAUGGUGUUCCCUUUUGCUUGUAACCUAGCAACCACCAUCCAACACAACACCAUCAAGCAAUAAACAUGGAAGAAAAUAAUUGUGUUCACGGAAGAGGUAAAGCAAAAUUGUCACAUGUGUUUUUAUGUGUUGUUUUAUAGUUGUGAAAGUCAGUAGUAAAAAGAUAAAUUAAACAAACUGUCAUUGUUUCGAAGUCUAGAAUUGCUUUUUUUUUGUUGGUUUCAAAAUGAUUGUAUUACUAUAAUAUAAUACAGACAGAGGGUUUUUGUUCCCUGUAAUCUAACUAGGGA
ensembl:lncRNA